GAGAAAGUGGAGAAAGUGGGUAGUGAGUAGAGAAAAGUAGGAAUAAAUUCAAACAUGGUAAAAAAUAAGCUGCUCACACUAACAAUUCCAGAAGUGUUAUUGUGCGAUUGGCUUCUUCUUCUCCACAUUUGUCUUUUCGAGCUUCUAGGGUUAAUUUUUGGCAGAUCAACAAACUGUUCGGCUGGUUUCGUUCUCCUCCACAUCUGAAUUGGUCUUGCACCAACGCAUAUUUGGGAGCGCGAAAUUUGAAUAUCGAUGGACUAUAGACAAACAAACAAGCGUCCAUGCUUUGGAAAAAAAAUGUCUAGAUCGAAAUGUUAAACGACGUGAACAAUAUAAACUUAAGAUGGCGAAUGAAAAGAGUGCCUUAGCAUUACAAGAGGUACCUACAAAGCAGGUGCUGAAACAUAAUCCCUUUGAAAGAGCGACUUCUAUCAUUCCUACUGAGAUAACAACAACAUCAGGACAUCUCCAGUGUACGUCUACAAAGGACUCUUGCUCUACUCUCAAAACAGAUUAUGGCGGGUCUCCGAUUUGCUUCUCGAGAUGCACACAUCCCGGCCAGGGUAUGAUCAAGUCUUCGAUUCUUACUCCGAGCUUCCGAACUCAGGCUUGGGGUAUGAUCAAGUCUUCGAAAUUGAGCUCUCCGACUUAGACCGUAUACAGAUAGUCCCCGUGUUUCUUAGAAUGAAAUGAUAUGAAAUGAUUUCAAUUCCCAAGUCCUUUAUGAUGGCAUCACUCUUAUGACGUAAGCGUUGAAAUGACUGAAGCGUCCCGUUGGUUCUCUUCCCCAAAAGCAUUAAGUGCACGUCAGAGAUGGCCGGCCAUCAAUAUUAAUGAACAGUCGUCGCCUUCCUCUAUAUAUACUUGUUUUCUCUUCUCUUUAAGGACUUUCCCACCUUGCAACACCUAUUUUCCUCUAUUCGUUUCCUUUUCACCACCAGUUCCUCUGCUAUAUUGUCUCAAAACCUCGCUGGUUCAUUCAUUUCUUCCUUCUUUUUCUAAAGAACUGAUGGCAAAAACUUCCAAGUCCAUUCUUCAGAAAAAAGGAAACUCUACUUCUACUUCCCGUCCGACCAGUGGUAAGCCGCAUGUGCUUCACGAGAUCAUACCAAGAAAUUUUCCUUAACGAAGUACUUUAUAGUCGAGAACCCUCCCGACAUCGCCGACCGUCGAGAGCAUUCAUCGAGAUACAUAAGGUCAAUUGAGGAAAAACACCUCGAUGUUGUGAGAAGAGAGUGUAAAUGGGAAGAGAAGUUCGUUUUGCAAAUACCUUCUCUAGGGGAGCACAUCACAACUUACGUAGAAGGGUUCCUGAGUGUAUAUACAUACCCCUUUACGCUGGGUCUCCUCGACCCGCUCACGCUUGAAUUCUGCCGAAGAUAUCAAGUAACCCUAGGCCAGAUUCAUCCGUUCUUUUGGCGGAUCAUAAUAAUGAUGCGAUUCUUUAGCGAAAAAGGCCGGGCUCGAGUUCACCCUCAGCCACCUCAUCUAAUUAUAUCGACCUCAACAUUUUCGAGGUUUAAUCAAACUCUAACACCGAUUAACCAAAUCCUUUUUCGCCAGUAAUGACGAAGGCAAUAAUCGAGGUUGGAUGAGCCGGUUCAUCCGAGUGAGGACCGCCGAUAUUAUUCCCGAAGAGUUCUUGUCGUUCCCCGAGGAAUGGAACUUCAAACGUGAGUGGAAUUCUUCGAUUUAGUUCUUUUCCAUAAAUUUUGCUAAACUUCGCAUAAUUACUCAUUUCCCCUCUCCGCAACGGUUGUGUGGAUGCCUAAUGCAAUCACCAUACGACAAACGCAAAUGGCGGGACUUGUCGAAGGGCAAGUGGGAAGAGAAACACCACGGUACGCGUCAUAUUGUUUCUUUACUCAUUAAGAAUGUCUUUCUUUAUGUGACUUGAUUCCUCUAUCACAAGUAUUGGUGAGUUAUUCGAGAUGAGGCCGCCCCCUUCCGGGGAGGAAGUAGGAUUUUCGGCUCUAAAGUCAAAGAAGGAUAACAAGAGAAAAAGGUCCUCGAAAAAUGAGGACACUCAAAUCCAAGCAGAGUCCGCUCGGAGGCGUUAGAAAAGUGUCGUCAUCAACGUGGAUGUUGACUUGGUCCACCAGUUCAUGGACGAUGACAGUGACGAGGUGGAGGGUCCGACGCUAGUGGCUCGAACCAGGAAAUCUUCCGAGGCUAUCAAGCAUGCUGAGAUCGGGGCCCCUAGUCUCGAGGAAGGAACUUUAAAAGAAAAGAGGGAUGAAGGCCCUACAUCACCUGGCGCGACAAUUGCUUCUCGGACUUCUGGAAAUACUCCAAAGGGAGUGAGCUUCGAAGCACUUCUACCUGAACAGAGCGCCUCUGGUGAUCUCCCUGAGGCCAUAACAGUAGGUUAACCCUCGUCGUUUCUAUCCUUCUCUGAGGAUACCAUUAUGGAUGCUCAAAACUUGAAGACGUCCGAGCUAGGUGGAGUCCCGAGUGAAAAUGACCCCUUCUGGGGUUACUUUGUCGGGGUCGAUGAGGCCGACCCAGCGGAUGCAAGCUUAAUCUUCGAGGAGGCUCGGCGUCUUUUCUCAAUUAUAAGUUUUUAUUCUUCAGAUAGGGCGGUGGCCAUCUAUUUAAAGGAUGAUGUCGAUGCUCAGAUGGAGUUGAGGGAGGUUUCUAAUCGCUUCCAACUUUGCACUACUAAUAAGUAGCAAGAGAGGGUCACAAUAGCUUUUACCCAAUUUUGGGUCGGGAUCGAUAUCCACAGAGAGCUAGAAUUGGAAUCGAGUAUCUAUCUAGUUUAGGAUUGCGUAUUUGUUCCAAAUUACUCUUCUAAUAAUUUUUGGGGUUUUCGUUAUAAUUCUACCUUUAUCAAACAACAAAUUGUAAAUGCAACUAGAUUAAGCUAAGAGUUAAUAUUGCAAGUUGUAUCAAAUGGUUUAAAAGGCACUAGGGUAGUGACUUCCGUCUAGGUGGUCAAUUGACGGGUCAUUGCAUAUAAGGCACGAUUGACAUAAUUGGGGAGUAUGAGAUAACCGUUGCACUAUUUUACCCACUCUACACCUCUCGGUGGUUCGAGUGAUUUCGCCCGAAUUGACUUUCUCAAGACCAACUGGGUAUGCAAUUUUGCAUAAGCAACUAGGGUUCAAGUCGGGUAUUACUCUCUCGAGGUUUAACCCUUCAAUUGGGGCUAUCAAUCUCUUGAUUAUGCCUCAAUUCCUUGUUGGACCAAUUUCGGAGACUUAGGCUCUCUUUAUCAAGCAGAGCCCAAGUCAACUAAGAACAAACUAGUGUUUGCAACCACUAAUUCACCAAUUAACCAUGAAAUUGGUCCAAAUA